GCUAAUGAUGACUGUGAUCCUUUGGGGUCAGCAAGGGAAUGGACAAGGCCAAGUGUUCAGUAUUACCAUGUUGAGAAGAAGUAGUGUUAUUGCCGUUAUGUGAGAAAUUUAAAUCAGACUUGUUUAUUACCAAUGCAAAGUCCAAAGGAGAGAAAGAAGAGUAACUAUGUGAACCUCUUUAUGGCUUUUCAUGGAAAUGGAAAUGCAGCAAUCUCCGAGCAACGACAACUUUCAAUUUCUGGCAAGGCAUGAAGGAAUAUCUUUUUUUAAAAAAAAGCUUAAAGGAAC